rnacentral:rRNA from 1 species
GAGCUCAAAUUUAAAAUCUGGCGGUGUAUUCCGUCCGAGUUGUAGUCUAGAGAAGCAUCAUCCGUGCUGGACCAUGUACAAGUCUCUUGGAACAGAGCGUCAUAGAGGGUGAGAAUCCCGUCCUUGACAUGGACUCCCAGUGCUUUGUGUUGUGCUCUCAACGAGUCGAGUUGUUUGGGAAUGCAGCUCAAAAUGGGUGGUAAAUUCCAUCUAAAGCUAAAUAUUGGCGAGAGACCGAUAGCGAACAAGUACCGUGAGGGAAAGAUGAAAAGCACUUUGGAGAGAGAGUUAAACAGUACGUGAAAUUGUUGAAAUGGAAACGCUUGAAGUCAGUCGCGUUCUCUGGGAUUCAGCCUUGCUUCUGCUUGGUGCACUUCCUAGUUUACGGGCCAACAUGGAUUUUGACCGGUGGAAAAGGAUUUGGGGAAUGUGACACCUCCGGGUGUGUUAUAGCCCCUUGUCNCAUACAUCGGAUGGUAUCGAGGUUUCCGUGCACGCUUCNGUUGUGCUUUGAUG